rnacentral:rRNA from 1 species
AACGGAAAGGCCCUGCUUGCAGGGUACUCGAGUGGCGAACGGGUGAGUAACACGUGGGUGAUCUGCCCUGCACUUCGGGAUAAGCUUGGGAAACUGGGUCUAAUACCAGAUAGGAGCCAUCUUUAGUGUGGUGGUUGGAAAGUUUUUUCGGUGUAGGAUGAGCUCGCGGCCUAUCAGCUUGUUGGUGGGGUAAUGGCCUACCAAGGCGGCGACGGGUAGCCGGCCUGAGAGGGUGUACGGCCACAUUGGGACUGAGAUACGGCCCAGACUCCUACGGGAGGCAGCAGUGGGGAAUAUUGCACAAUGGGCGCAAGCCUGAUGCAGCGACGCCGCGUGGGGGAUGAAGGCCUUCGGGUUGUAAACUCCUUUCGCUAGGGACGAAGCUUUUUUGUGACGGUACCUAGAUAAGAAGCACCGGCUAACUACGUGCCAGCAGCCGCGGUAAUACGUAGGGUGCGAGCGUUGUCCGGAAUUACUGGGCGUAAAGGGCUCGUAGGUGGUUUGUCGCGUCGUCUGUGAAAUUCUGGGGCUUAACUCCGGGCGUGCAGGCGAUACGGGCAUAACUUGAGUGCUGUAGGGGUAACUGGAAUUCCUGGUGUAGCGGUGAAAUGCGCAGAUAUCAGGAGGAACACCGAUGGCGAAGGCAGGUUACUGGGCAGUUACUGACGCUGAGGAGCGAAAGCAUGGGUAGCGAACAGGAUUAGAUACCCUGGU